ACCAGAAGCUUGGGAUAACGACUCUGUGUUGGCUCCUAACUUUUUGGGCACAGAAUUCAUAAAAAGAGAAGCUAGCAGCCUGCCCUUGUGCUCUCACUAGAAAUUUAUUUUACCUGAUCGUACAUGCCCAGAUUAAAUUGCUUACCAUCUCAGAGAAGGUGGAGGAAAGAGAGAAAGGGAGAUCAUUUGCAACUUGUAAUUUCAGAAAGAAAUCAAGGUUAAUGGCAGUUGAAACAGCAAGCAAAUAGAUGCUAGAAAUCUUUAGGCAACAAAAAACAUUGUUUCAUGGGCUGCUUGGUCCACUCAUACUGCAUUGCUAUUGUAAAGCAUUUCCAAAGGGAUAAC
rnacentral:lncRNA from 1 species